UGCACACUUUCAGAGAGAAGAUCUCAGAGCAAUAUGAGUAGAUAGUGAUAAAGGAAUCAGCCAUGAUCAAUGAAGUAGGAACUAUGAACCCCCAGAGGUUUAAAAAAAACAAACGUGAUUUCUAUCUACUUAAAGGUCUUUCUCCUCUACUCACCUCCUUUAAAUGUAGCAAACAUUAUUGAGAACAAACAGUUUCUACUGAAUCAAAGCCCAGUUUGGUAUUAGCAUUCUAGGUAUUCAAGAAGAUGAAAGAUUUUGCUGCUUGCAUCAUGAUCAAAAGGCUCCAUUGCUUUGAGCCCAGGAAAAGGCAUAUAUUCAUGGCAAAGGGUGGUGGUGGCGCACACCUUUAGUCCCAGCACUUGGGAAGCAGAGCCAGGUGG